GCAAGGAGGCAGCUAACCACGGUAGGGUCAGCGACUGGGGUGAAGUCGUAACAAGGUAGCCGUAGGGGAACCUGCGGCUGGAUCACCUCCUUUCUAAGG
rnacentral:rRNA from 1 species